AGGAAGGGGGGGGAGGGGAAGCCAGGAAAGGAGGGAGAGAGGCAGAAACGAGAGCCUUGCCGUCCACCCGUGUGGGCAGUGCAGCCCAGCAGCCCGGCUGGGAGCCAGAGGACCGGGCCCAGGUCCUGGGUCCACCACCGAGUCAGGCCCCGCUGUCAAGACAAGAGAGACUGAGGCACUGACGAGCCUCUGGGGACGGGGCUCUCCCGCGAGCCUCCCCACCGCAGCUCCAGCCCAACCGAGCUCUCGGGCCUCGUACUCACUGGGACUACGUGACAAAUUCUAUAAAAACUGUUACGAAGCCAGGCUCGCCUGCGCAGCCAGCCAGACGCUGACACGCUGGGAUCCGCAGCAGAGGCAGCGCCUUCUCAGGAGACAGCUGAGUGAGGAGACGGAAGAACAAGCCUCAAACUGCUCCCCGGGAGGCCCGGGGCUGGGGUGUUUGUGGGAUAAGGAAGCAGUGGUCUGAGGCGUGGGGCGCGUGGGGCAGGGCGAUUGGAAAUAAGAAAAAGAUUCCACAUAUGAGUGAUACCACGUAUUUCUCUUUCUCUUUCUGGCUGAUCUCCAGGAGGAAACUCUAAUUUGAAAAGCUAUGUGCACCCCAAUGUUCAAAGCAGCAUUAUUUACAAUAGCCAAGACAUGGAAACCUAAACAUUCAUUGACAGAUGACUGGAUAAAGAAGCUGUAAUACAUUUAUACAGCAGAGUACUACUCAGCCAUAAAAAAGAAUAAAAUAAUGCCAUUUGCAGCAGCAACAUGGAUGGACCUGCUUGUCCUCUGAGCUGCACAGGGCCUUAAACAAUAAGACGUCUGCCCGAGUUGUUGGCCAGAAAGUUGGAGUCAGCUGCAUCUUGUUCAUCUGAUCAAGAGUCCAUGGUGUCCAGUUGGAUUUGAGAUAUUUUUCUCUCGUCUUCUUGUAAAUAAAUCCUCUCUUUGCUGCAAACCUCA